GGUCUGGUACACACCGCCUGUCACGCCAUGGGAGUUGGAGGGACCCAAAGCCGGUGAGCCAACCUGCAAAGGAGGCAGCCGUCUAAGGUAAAGCCAGCGACUGGGGUGAAGUCAUAACAAGGUAGCGGUAUCGGAAGGUGACGCUGGAUCACCUCCUUU
rnacentral:rRNA from 1 species